ensembl:lncRNA
GGAAGCUGUGUGUAUUGUCAAAACUCUAUUUCCAUUUCACUGGCUCAUCUUCUGUCAGUAUUUAAUUCCCCACCAAUCUAUGCAAUAAAAAGAUGAUCAUUCUCUGCUACAGUCAUUGGUCCAGCAUUCAUUCAGUUUGAUUCUAUGUUUUUCCAUAAGGUAAGAAAAUGGUUAAAGUAUUUUUGCACUAAGACUUGAAUGUUAGCUGUUAAAAUGUGAGACCUUCUGUAACACAAUAUCUGCAGAAAGUGAAACAGUGAUUAACAUAUUACCUCAAAAAGAAGAAACAGUAUGGUGGAUAGAAGAAAUCUUGGUAUCUUAUGGUGAAAGCUUUCUGAAGUUCUAGGAAAUUAGUCUCCUGGAAGAGGGAUCCCUAUGACUUUCCUCAAAGCAGCUGUACAAAACCCCAUAGAACAGUAAAACAAGUGGCCUUGGCCAACAAAAGCCAAGGAUCUGAGUUAUUUUUAGCUGAAAAAAAAAAACGAAAACCAACCAACCAAACAAACAAAAACCCUAAAACUUUGCUCACAGGUUUUAGCCAACACUAUAUGAUUUUAAAUACAUUUCUUUACCCACGUAUGUAGCUCCAAAAAUAACGUGUCCUUUUUAUUUCAAUGGAAAAUUCAACAGACAGAAAGAGCACAAUUACACUAUUUGAUUGAGCAAGUUCUCAUCUACAAAGCACUAUUUUACAACAAAGUCACCACUGUUAGUUAUGCAUUUUCACCAGCAGUGAACAAGAGUCUGCAUGCCACUCUCAUAAAAGUCUUCACAAGCAGAGGUGAUCCACUGUCACUGUCACCACUGCUGAAACACACCACCCACUGCUUCACCGUGCUCACCUACAUUGUUUGGUCUCCAUAAACAUUCAGCAAGCAUUGACAAAUGUCAGUGGGUGCCAUUUUUUCUUCAUGGAGGAAUUCAAUCACAUACCUCUGCUUCAUACACACUUUCAAGGCAGACACCAUUUUGUCAGAUUGCCCCUGCUGCUGUCUGUCACAAGGCAACAGAAUAUUGGUGCAAAGGUUCAACUUUUAUUGCCAUACAGUCAACAUUCACCUCUGAUGUUGUGGGACAACAUAAAAAAAUAAGAGACACUACUUUCAUAGUAACUCUUGUAGUUUUGGUCCAUUACCCUAACAAAUAUCAUUCUAAGAUUGAGAAUAAUUUUUACCCAGUGAAUUAUCUACAAAUAAUUUCUUUUGAAAAUGAUAUGAUGAUGAUUGUUCUAUUAACUUCAGUUUGCUGGUUUUGUUCAUUCUGUUUGUUCAGAAAUAAAUAAAUAUAAUUUAUUUCCCCUGGGACAAGCCAAUGGAUCAUUAACAAAGAGCAUUUAUCAAUAGGAAAACCUGGCUCUUCAUAAAUUUUCAGGCUAUAUACAAUGGAUUUACUCCUUCAUUAAGGUGACAUUAACAUAAAAAUAUUGAAGAACAAAAGUAUAGGUAAUAAAUGCCUUUUUAACUUUGUCUACAGACAUUUUCAAAUAAAGAAACUAAAGUUUUGGCCUUCUUUAAAUAUAACAAAAAAAAAUUAUUAAACAAAUAAAGUGUUGUGAUUGAAAAAGUAGUACCAGAUUCAGCUCUGCAAAAGUUAGGAAUUAUUAUGUUCCUAAAGGAAGGAGAAAAUACAGAAAUUAUUCCUCUGUGCUAUUUAGAAAGUAAUAUUAUAAAUUGAUUAAAGGAUGUUUCAUAGCUAUCAAUGUGAAGAUUCCAAAAAGGCUUUUGAAUCACAGUUCCUCAGUUCUACUCCCUUACUGUACUUUUUCAAUUGUUCCUACUCAUACUGAGGAGGUUUUUACCUUCUACUGGUUUUUCUGAAGAUGAUCUUUUUCUUUCAGUGAAGGAACAACGUCAGACGCACAUUUCUCCUUAUUGAUUGUUUUGUGUCCUUCAAUUUCCUGCCACCUCAGCUUCUGUGUAACCUCAUCAUCAUAUGUGUGUAGUGCUUCAUGUUCAUUAUGGAAAGACUAGUGGGACAGGGUGGAUUAAUGGUGAAAACAGAGGGAAAGAAAUAUAUGUAUGUUUUAGCUCUGCUUAUAGAUAUAAAGAAUUUCUUCUAGCUUCAGAAAAAAUUACUUUUAAAUUUUCAUUCUGUGACUAGUUAUUCUGAAUUUAUAAGAAGGCAAUUGAAUCAGCUUCCCCCCACUAAUGACAUUGUUAAAAAUCUCUUGAAAAGAAUAAAAAGGAUGGGUUCAUUAUGCUGAAAGGAACAUAUUUUCUUUACUUUUUAUGAAGAAUAUUGACAAGAAAAAGGUAUUCUUCUUUUAAAGAAAACUCAAAAGCAAUGGAUCAGAAAACAUUUACUUCUUUUUUCUCCUUUUUAAGUUAAGUAGUGAUGUAGAAGAGAAAUUAUAUGCUUUCAUAACAAUUGAAAUAUUUUACAUCUAGUUUUAUAUGUUUUCUGUUUAUUAACAUAUAACAUAUGUACAUAAUUUCACACAAGUGUUUUGUGGCCUUAACUACAAAAAAAAAAAAAAAAAAAAAAAAGCCAUGGAAGUAAAACCUAUGCAGAAAUACUCUCCUGUCUGAAAAUCCAUUACCUUCAAUGCUUCCUAAAUAGAUUUAUCAUAACUUUUAAUUAUUCACAGCUAAAAAGAUUAUGUUUCUCUUUAAAGAAUUCAUAAGGAGAACCUUCUCAAGUAAAAUAUAAAGAGGUUUCUUCAUGCUGACAGUAUCACAGAGGUUGUGUUUUUGACAGUAGUUUUUCAGAAAACAGCAUUGAAAUUUCCAGAGAAAUACAUAAUCACUCAACUACAAAGUUGAUAGAGUAAAUUGUUACACUUAGAGAUAUGAAACACAUUUAUUUCUUAUUAAUUGUUGACAUGCCAUGGAUACUCUGUUGUCCUAACACAAUCUAAUAAAGAUAUCUGUAGUCCCCUAAUGCUCUGCACUGGAAUCAGUAAACUAUUAUUUUAAUAUAAAAUGUGCAUAGUCUGAAGAAAAAAAUUUAAAUACGUAGUGAAUCGUUUUUAAGUUAAAAAGUUAAAAGAAGAAUAUAAUGCACAAGCAGCAUUUAACCUAAAACACAUUCUCCACAAAAAGCUUCACUUUCCAUUAAAACAAUAAAAAAGAAAAAAAAUGUGAACAAAUAAAAGAUUUAUUUUGUAACAGAAACAAUAUCAAAUUAAAGCUUGUAUUAAGUAUUUUUCUACACAUUUUGGGUGCCUCUGGGAGUGUUGACAGGACACAAGUAAAUUAAAGUAAUAAAACCAUAAAAAUGAUCAAAUAUGUCAGCAUAGACAUGUUGAGUAAGAGUUAUUUUUCCUGGAUAAUAUCUUAUUUGUCAAAAAAAUAAUACAAAGGCAGAAUACACCUAAUCACACCCUUAUUACUGUAGUAAAGAGAUGGGGCUAGGAGAUUUACCAGGGAGAAGCAAGAAUAAGUGUGCUCCAAAUGGGACAAGACUGGAGCUGGUGUGUCUAGUAAGAAACGAAAGGAGAUGGGGUAAGAGACAAGCUACUUGCAGACUGUUCCUUCUAUGGCAUUGCUGGGGCAGGAGAGCCCUAGACAGAAGAAAUGGAGUGUCUGGACAACUAUUAGGCUGGAGGAAGGCUGAGCUGGGCAGGAACAGUAGGGACUGAUAGUGUUGUCAAGGUGCUGACAAGCAUAAAGCAGAAAGGAAAAUAAUACAAAUGUAAAAUGGACAUGAUGUUCUAACAGAUAGUGACAUAUAGGGAGCUAUCCUAAAUUAAAGACAAAGAGUGAUUCAUCUUUAUAAGAUACUCAUAAAACCUCUGCACUAUUCUUGAAAAUUUCUUUACAGAUUAAUACUGUCUUAUCCAGGUAACUCUGCUGAAUCCCUUCAAGUCAUUCCCUUUCCUAACAGGAGUCUUUAUUAAGUCAUAUUGAUAAGGAUUUCUGUAAUAACACUUCUAACUGAUAUAACUGCAUUCCUUAGUACAGGAAGAAUAUCUUUAUUGACCAUUUCUGAUAACCCAUCCUUUUUUUUUAACUAGAACUUUGCAUUAUUGUUUAUUUCUUCUUGUUCAGUGACAUUUUUCCCUACCAAAGUCCCAUGAGGAGAAGGUAGAAAGGAGAUUGUUGGGCACAUUAAGACUAAAAGUAAGAACAAUUAUGCUUAUGUGUCCAUGAAAUGGCAUUUCUCACAUUUAUCUGUUUCACAUGUAAGAAAAGAUACAUAGGUAAAGACAAGCUAGCAAGGUCAUCAAGUACGGUCAUUCUCUCUUACUAAAUCAGUAAUGAGCUGCUCACUUGUCUCAAUCUUUUGCAGCAUGCAAAUAAAUCCUUUUGUAACUAUCAGCACUCGCUUCUUGCAUUUUGGAAAUACCUAGUUUUUAGGUGAUUUUGUUAUGUAACUACUUAAAAAAAGUUACAGGAUAAAAUACAUCACUCAGGAAGGUGAAAUCUUUAGUAUUCUUCAGAACUUAUGAACAAAUAAUAACUAUCACAUACUUACAAUUUGAGGAAUUGCAAAUGAAAACUCAAUGUGUCAUUGUUCAUAUUCUGCUGUUCUUCAUCAAUGUUACAAUUUUACACAUGUAUUACUUUUAUACUGAAAAUAUUGAUCUUAACCAUGUCAGGUAUCAAAGUUGGGUACUGUUUCAUAAGAAAAACUGGAUGCAUUUCUGCAAGUACUUAAUAAAAUAAAAUAGAAGACAAUGAUCCAAAUAAUAUUUAAUAGUCAAAAGCAUGCUGUUAGAAGGUUAACAAAUUUACUCUUUGACCUCAUUUUAACCAAACAAAUCUGAAAAAAAAAAAAGCACAGAAUGUUCAGUAAUAUGUGAUCUUUUAUUGCACCAAAUAUUUAUGAGAACAAUCCAUUAAAAACUAAUGUACAAAUUUAUAACAGUACAUUUGUUCUCAUUGUGCUCUUGAUUAUAUUUAGAAGCUUCUGUGCUAAAAAAAUGUCAGGUAAGAUUAAUCAAUCUUUUUUUAAAAUAAACAUUUUAAAAAGCCAUAUAGGAUUCUGGGGGCUUUGGGUUGCUUUUUUUGUCUGUUUGUUUUAUUUGUUUAUUUAUAUUAGGAAUAAGUUAGUUGGAAUCUAGAUAGAACAAAAUCAGUAGGAUUUUGUAUAAUUUUUGAGUUUGGUAGCAACGUCAAGAAAAAAUGCUUGAAUCUCUGUGGAAAUCUACCACAUACCCAAUAGUUAAUGAUGAGUUACCGUAUCAGAUUAAUUACUACAAAAUACUUAUAUUUACAUAUAAUAAAGUGAAUUAAAUUGUGGUUUCUGUUAUAUUUUUCUCCUUUACAAUCUUUUGAAGAAAACUAUCAUACUCUGAAAUACAUAUACAGUCACACUAACAUAACUGACAUCAACACACUAAUAAGAGUAAACUUGACAUUUCAAGGUCUCAUAGACUCAAAGUGGAAACAAAAUAAAACAAAACAAAACAGAACUUUUUAAAAUAAGGUUACAUUAGCUGCCAUUUAAUCCUCAAAGUUGGCCAUUCUCAUGGAAAUUUCAUCAGUGUUUUGAGUUCAGUAGGCAUCCCGUUGUUUCUUUUGCUGAAAUAAUACAAUCAUGAGAAUUGUAUUUUAUAAAGACUUUUAAAAGAGUUGAAGGAGGUCACUAACCCUAGCAUGUCUUUAUCCUUUAAAUUUACCUCCAUCUCAAGACCCUGGUUAAACAAUAGAGAAGUAAAAUUCCCAUUCAAGCUUUACAAAAUUAUUGACUUUAAAUUAAAUCACAUACAAUAUCAUUCUUGGGAAGUCCCAAAGCUUCCAUAAAAUUUAUAUUUUAAAGGAUAUGAAUGAAAAUAUUGUAGUGAGAACCAAAGAUACAGUUUUUCCCACUUGUUCUUCCCUGUCAUUUAUUUUUAUGCAAUUCUUAGAAAAUUUGCUACUAGAAUUGAGAUGGCUGAUUUUGUGAAUAUCCAUUGCUUGUAGCCUGUAUCUGUGCCUUCAAAUAAUAUUUCAGAGGCAAGUGAAGAAUUUAUGACUUUCCAUUUAUUUAACAUGAGGAGUAGAUUUUAAAGAAACAAACCAAAGAUUCCUCAAAAGGAAAAUGUCGUAUCCAUCAGAUGAAAAUGUUGAAGCAAGUUAUCAUACACAGUAGCGAGCAAGUUCUAGAACAUAGGGCUGUAUUUAAUUAUCUGAGCAUUCUUAGGAAUUUGUUCAUCCCAAAACACAUAAAACGCAUCAAUAGAUAGAUGCAUUCAGUUUAUUUAUUGAGAUUUUUCUCAACAAUGUUCACACAGAGAUUUUGUCCAAUAUCCUGUGUAUUUUCAGAAUUAGGCAUUGUGAGCAUUUGUGUUAUGCAUUGUUUACUUUUUAAAUAUACAUUUAAAUAUAUAAUUAGCAAUACUAAAUACUAUUUCUCCCCUCCUCUUCUGCUUAUUAAAUAGCUGUUAUCUCAAGCUAUGAAUUCAAUAUUUUUUUUCUAUUUCUCUCCCCAGUCCCACUGGGAAAGCAGGGAGUGAGCCACUACAGCUGCAAGGUGCAUAGUUACCUUCUUGUUUAAACAACAGCAGUCUUUGUUAUCCUGAAAUUGUGUAUAAUCCUCCAAGUCCUACUUCUGAAAGUCUUUCUUUUUUUUUAACGUAGAUUUCUAAUGGAGGAGAAAUUUACCAUACAGUAUGGGUGUUACAUGAGCAAAAAAUAUAAGUCAAAAAUAUGAAUCAAAAACAUAUUUCAAUUAAAAAACAAACAAACAAACAUUCUUCUUCUAUUUUUAGGCCAAUUUCAGUACUUCCUCAUCUUUUUUUUUACAAACUCACUUAAUAUCUACAGAGUCCAAUUUAUUACAAAACUAUGGUAUUGAUAAUCCCUACCACUUGGCAAGGCAUGACUGAUACCAUAGAAUCAUAGAAUCACAGAAUGGCCUGAGUUGAAAAGGACCACAAUGAUCAUCUAGCUUCAACCCCCCUGCUAUGUGCAGAGUUGCCAACCACCAGACCAGGUGCCCAGAGCCACAUCCAGACUAGUGUUCAUUGCAUCCAGAGAUGGAGCAUCCACAACCUCCUUGGGCAACCUGUUCCAGUGUGUCACCACCCUCUGAGUGAAAAACUUCCUCCUAAUAUCUAAUCUAAACCUCCCCUGUCCCAGUUUAAAACCUUUCCCCCUUGUCCUAUCACUAUCCACCCUAGUAAACAGUCAUUCCCCUUCCUGUUUAUACACUCCCUUCAAGUACUGAAAGGCCAUAAGGAGGUCUCCCCAGAGCCUUCUCUUCUCCAAGCUGAACAAGCCCAGUUCCCUCAGCCUUUCUUCACAGGAGAGGAGAUCCAGCCCUCUGAUCAUCUUAGUGGCCCUCCUCUGGACCCGCUCCAAGAGCUCCAUGUCCUUCCUGCACUGGGGGCCCCAGUAUGUAUGGCCAUACACAUUCAGAUUCAUGAGGAGGACUCGGACUUGUUCCACCGUUACAGUGCAACAAAAACCACCCCCCAUACCCUCACCUAGAGGCUCAUGGUCCUAGCAGACACAGGAAGCCUGACCACCCAUGAAGACUGAGGAGAAGAACUCAUUGAGUGCCUCAGCUUUUUCUAUGUCUGAGGAAGCCAGCUCCCCAUUACCUUUCAUCAGAGGGGGAACAGUCUCCUUGUCCAUUACACUCUUUUUCUCUUCUGGAAUAGGGUGACUACAUAUAAAACAGAAAAUAGAAAAGAUCUGUUGCUGAUGCCUUUGUUCCUUGGACUACACUCAGAGAAUACUCAGAGAGUGCUAGAUGACAUCUGUUAAUGGUAACUCUGUGGACUGCCACAGGCCAGUGGUCAGGUUAAUGCCCUUAUACUAUUUUACUUAUACAGGUGUACAUUUUGAAUCCAGACACUGAACUUUGAUGUAACAUUUUAUAAGCAGUGAAAGUAUUAAAAAUUAAAAGAGAAAACAAUAUUCUUCUAGAAUGAAGGAAAUAAGAAAACUGAAGGCUGUGAAAGAAAGUGUGAAAUACAAAGGGUAACAAUUGUGAAGAUAGCAAGAUGUUUGAAGUAGGUGUGUGAAUACUUAUAUGUUUGUAUAUAUACAUAAAAAUAGGUAAAAUUAUUGGUUAGCCUAAAAUAUUUCCAGAAGUAUGUAGGUUGCUUCAAAAGUAAUGCCUCCUAUGUAUUUCCAUGGAAACUACAACAGAUUCAAAGCUUGUAAUAACACUAUUGAUAGAGAAAAUUCUCAGCCACAAAACACUAUUUUUAUAUACAGUCACCACGAUUAGCUGUGCAUUUUUUUUUUUUUUUUUUUUUUUUUUUUUUUUGCCAGCAAUGAGCUGCAUGAUACACUCCUAAAUAUCUACAGCAAUGGAAGUGACCCAUUAUCACUGUUGGCACUGCUGAAACACACCACCCACUGUGUUAUUGUGCUAAUAUCAAUUGUUUGGUCUCUAUAAAUGCUCAGCAAGUGUUGAUAAAUUUAGGGGGUCCUUCAAAGUGACUUCUACAUGGCCAAGAUUGAAGGAGGGGUGCUGAGGUCCACAGAGAAAGCAGAUGGCUGGCAGUUAUGGUUCUGUGGUCUUCUUUUCGCUCUCCAUUGGUGCAGGAGAGAGAAACGAGGAGGAAAGUACUAGCAGCCAGGAUCCCUCAAGCAAAAAGCACUUCCAGGAGGGUAAGUCACAGCACCUGAGGGAAGCAAGCAGAGUGCUCAUCAUCUCUCUCAUUUAUUACCUGGGAGAGUCUGAUGGCAGAUGGAAUGAGAGUACAUAGCUCUCCUGUAGGGCAAGAAAAGGAAGCAAGAUGGUUGAUUGUUGUGUACUAAAGAAUAAUAAAGACAAUAGCUGAAAAGAUGUCUGGGAUUAAAAUAAGGAAACACAUAAAUCAACAACAAUAACAGAAACAAAAAAAAAAAAGAGAGAGAGAGAGAGAGAGAGAGAGAGAAAGAGAGAGAGAACGAGAGACAUAAUAGAACUGCACAAGUUCAACAUUUGUUCUUGCUUGUCCCAUAAUAGAACAGUGUGCCAGUUCACGUGCCACGAAAUUUAUUUGGUAUCUUUUACUGUCUAUUCUAUCAAGAUUAAAAUAUAUCAUCAGCUCUCCCACCCCAAAUUUAAAGAUGCCCUCUCAUUAGAUUUGAGGGUGUUAGUGGAAAAACAGGUGUUCAACAAUCUGUGACAUAUGGCGUUUCUAUUCUUUGGCUUUAAUUUACUUCUAUUCCUUUCUCUUAACUACACUGUGAUAUACAUUACAUGGUUUCCACUAUAGUAAACAUGAAAUGGUUACAAUUUUUUUUUCCCUUUUCUUUUUUUUUCCCUUUUUUUUUCCUUUUUCCUUUCUAUCUUCCUUUCUCCUUUUCCUUUCCCUUUUCCUCUAUUUCCUUUUCCCUCUCUCUCUCUUUUUUUUUUCUCUCUUUUUCCUUUUUCUUUUAUGCACUUUCUAAUAGAUGUGUUGAAUGGAAAUAAGCAAUAUCAGAAAAGAAGCAAAAUAGGAAGAUAACAUGCCUCUGGAGAAGAUAUAAGGUAUUAGAAGGAGGAACACUUUCCUUCAGAAUCACAGGAGAUAUGGAAUAACACAUAUUGGACUAUAACAGUUUUACUUCCUUGACUAUCUGGUGCUAAUUAACUCAAUAGGUUUUAGUCAGUGUCAAUACAAGAUGUGUGGUGUUCUUACCAAACCUCUUGUUUAUCUUGAGAGACAAGAAGUAGUCAUAUAAGGGAAAAUACAUGCUUAUUGGUACCUUCACAUACACACACACACACAAAAGACAUUCAUUAACAUACUAUGAUUGUUAUUUAAAAACAAGAUUUGUGAGAGUGGUUGAGUGAACUGGGUCUGUUUAAAGAAAUCUGGAGCAAAGAGUCUUAGCGAACACCUCAUUGCUCGCUACAAGGAAGCUGUAACAAGGAAGAUGUUGGUCUUUUUUCUUAGGUGACAAGUGGUAAGGCAGAAGGCUUCAAGUUGCACCAGAGCAGGUUUAGAAUGGAUGUCAAGAAUAAUUUAUUUACAGAAAGGGUGAUUAGGCAUUUGAACAUGCUAGUCAGGGAAGUGGUAGAGCUGCCAUCCCUGGAGGUGUUUAAGAGACACGUGGAUAUGGCACUUAGGGACACUGUUCAACUUGUAAUGUUACUUGGAUGGUUGGACUUGAUGUUCUUGGUCUUUUCCAACCUAAACUAUUCUAUGGUUUUAUGAUUUUAUCCUGUCUGUGUUUUUUCCUCAAUAUCAGGGUAAAACUUUUAAAAGGAAAGGAAAAUGAAGUUCAAUUAAUGUAGAAUAAACCAUGUAGAAUACAUUAAGGAGGCAAAAUGCAUCACAGUUUGAGAGGAAUAGUCCAAAUUCAUUUGGACAUAUUGGACUAUCAAUGCUAAGCAAACCUAAGUAAGAACUUAAAUGUCACAUGCUUCUUCAGACAGUGCUAUGAGUCUGCAGAACUUGAAAGAGUGGGGCUAGUUGAUGACGCAACCAGUAUUGCACUUUUUAGCCUACUUUUCAGUAACUCUGUCACUGUUUAAAGAACAACCUGUUCUUUCUGGCCUUCAAAUUCUUUUGCUUAGUUUGAAACUACAAAAGAUGAAUAUUUGAAAGUUCAAAGCAAAUCAGACAAGCUGCUUUCAGCUUGUGAGGUACUGAAAAUGUAACAUGUUUCUGCUUUAAUUUACACAUUCAUUAUGUUAAUUCUUUGAAGUUAUUUUGAGAGGAAUUGUGUUAACAACCUCACUGGAACAUACUCAUUUUCAUGUGUGCAUGCAUGUGUAUUUAUACAUAUUCAUUUCAGAAAAAAAGUUAUAUCUAGUUUUACAUGAAUUUGUCCUCAUUUUGCAAACUUAUUUUUGUCAUAGCUUUGUGGGUUUUGUUCUGCAGUUGUAGUGAAACUGAUGCCUUUGGAAACCCAACUAUCCUCAUUGCCCCAACCUUUCCAAAAUGUCUUGCUUUAAUAUUUCAUUAUAGUUGGCAUCAAGAAUAAUAUAUCCAUUCUGAUUUGGAGUGGCAUGCCCCUCUCUUCUUUUGCAUUGCUGCUGAAGGCCAGAUUGGUGGAUUGCAAGACUACAUUGGUGCUAACAAAGUUAGCAUGCCUGUAUUUACUCUCUGGUAUAAGAGUCCAAAUUAUUUAACUCUCUCAAAACACUACUGGGAAGCUACAUCAAAACUACCUAGUGUUAACCAUUCCUGUGCAAUGUUAACCCUUAAAAGCAUCAGGGACAUACUAGUUGGUGCUGACCAAAGUAUGCUAAGCAGUAUGCUACCAAUUCAAUAUCACAGCUGGCUGCCUUCCAGUGCCUUUGGGUGGUCCCUGACCCAGUUAAAUAAGCCAGUACAGGUGUAACCAGUGCAUAAUGUUACUCCCAGGAAUUCAGCAGUCUGUGGCACAAGACUUUAUUUUGAUACAGCGUAGCUCUGCAACCUUGGCUUAGACUUUGGAAAAAAAAACUGUUUAGAUGUGACAUGGAGCCAUGAGGAAAUACAUAAACCACAUCCAGUCAAGGUAAGAAAUGUAAUAUUUCAGAGGCAAGACUGCUGAGUCUGGGUAAGCAGUACUUCAAGAAUUUAGCAGGGAAAAGACUGCCAUGAAAAGGUAUAAAAUCCUAUGGAAAACCAACCAACCAACAAACAAGGAACUGAAAGAUAGCAACUCAGCAAAAGAAAAAGAAGCAGCACAGUUCAGGCACUGAAAUGGGCUGCCCAGGGAAGUGGUGGAGUUACUGACCCUGGAGGUGUUCAAGAAACGUUUGGAUGUUGUGUUGAGGGACAUGGUUUAAUGAGAACUAUUGGUGAUGGGUGGAUGGUUGGACUGGGUGAUCCUGUGGGUAUUUUCCAACCUUGGUGAUUCUAUGAUUCUAUGAUUCAAAAAGUAACAGCAGCCAACUAAUAGAUGAGUGCUUGAUGAGCUAACAAAGAUUUAACAGGUGUCCUACAAUGUGUGGUGAGUGUAUUGUAAUUCAUUAGUCCCCACUGUCUAUCAUAUGUGCUAAAAAUAACUUAAAAAUUAUUAGUUAAAAAAUAAUUGGUUUAAUUUAAUGUAUUCACUUGAAUUCACCCUCUUCUAUUUUUGUCCUCCUAUACAAAGUACCAUGUAAACAAACUAUGUGAUCUAUAUUCCAGCUUUACUUAUGUGAUUUUAGCAAAUUAAAUGUCUAUCAGCUUGAACUUGCAGAUAUCCCAGUUUUACACAACUGUCUUGCAAUAAAGGAUUCACUGCAAGAUUAGACUUAUAUUAGAAUACCACAAAUUAGACUGUAGUGCUAGGAAAGACCAUGAUUCUUUUACCUGUCCUUAGGGUUAUUCUUUCUGGCUUCACUCUCCAUCAGUGAGAACAACACUGUCGGGAACCAAGCAAGAUGCAUUUAGAGCAACCUGCAGAAAGAACAGAAAUAGGAAUGGGCAGCCUCUGAUGAGGCCCUCAUAUUCAUCUCUGAUACCUUUGCUAACUCUUAACUCUUUCAUAUUUUUCUGAUUUUUAAUCUUGUGGUCAAAAAUGUUUGAGUUAGUGGAUGUGCAGAUUUGGACUAAUGAAAAAUGUAAAUCCCACAUGUUCCUCAUUCUGCUUGCAGGUUCUGCUAUUUUGCCUUGUGCAGUUCUCAUCUAAUUAGGCAGUGGUGUUUAAAAUAGGAGGCAUCUGUUAGGGAGUGCACAUGACUCUGCAUAUUCUCCUUAGGCACUUAUGCGGGUAGGAUGAAUUAAAAAGUAAGAUAAAAUAAUAAAACAACAAAGCAAACCAAAACCAAUAUAAUCUUCUUGAAUUUGCUUAUUUUUGGGAAUAUAUUUUCACAUUCAUGAUAGUCUGUUCAAAUAUAGCCUUCUUAUUUUCAGAACCCAGUUAUGAAGGUAAAUAUAUGCAAGACAUCUAAAUUAUUCGACAAUUGCUUAAAUUACUACAAUGUAAAUUAAUAAAUAUGCAUUUUACUACGUGACUGUCAUCUUUUGAUCUGCAUGCCACCGCAGAGAAGAAUAAAAGAUAAUGUUCAAACCUUCAACAUUUAAAUAGGAAACAUGCUUAUUUUUUACCGUAGUUUAGCAUGAUACCAUGAAUAGCUCACUGUUGUUUUCCAGUCAUUUGCUUCACAGUUAAUAUAUACAAUGCAAUAUUAAAGAAAAAAAAUAAAUAAAUCCUUUACCAUGACUUGUUUUUAUUUUGCUUACUAUUCAUAAGCAGGCUUUCUCAUUCCUCUGCUUUCUACUUACCCUUGGACAGCUUGCUAGCUCAUUCGUACUAAUAUUAAUCUACCAUUUCAAAAAAUUGUCAAAUGAUUACACAAGAUGUAUAAAAACAAAGUAAUGGUGAAGCUUUAAAUUAAAUGUUAGCAGACAUCUGAAAAUUAGCUGUACUGUACAUUAUUCUACUUUUUUUUGUACUAAGUUCUACUUUUUUUUUUUUUUUUUUUUUUCCUGAUUCUCUCCCCCAUUCCACUUGGAAAGGGGGAGUGAGUGAGCAAGCAACUGCAUGAAGCUCAGCCACCUGCUGGGUUAAACCACAACAAUAAACCUCUGGGAAAUCUCUCCUUCACUGUAAGCUAACAUAAGACUAGUCAUAAGGCUCAGAUCAUCACAUGUAUUGGGAAUUACCAAGUCUCCUUCUAGCUUUUUAAAAUCAUCGCUUACUUAUUGGUAAAAUUACCCACAGUCUAAGAUUUCUGGGCACUUGAAUUGCUACUUGUUGACUGGUGUAUUGUUCAAGAUCCCUGUCAGUAGCAAAUGACUGCUGAAUCAAAGCCAAAAUUUCAAAUUUUUAGAGUGCAUGUCUUAUAAGGAAGAUAUAUGUGCUAAAAAUGAUGGUAUACAAGGUGUGUAUCCUUCCUGAUGUAGGAGACUCCUGUUCCUUAGCUGUCUAUCAAACUUCUUAUACUCCUCCAUGCCUACAGAAUGCAGAAAAUGUAUGGUAUCAACGUCUUUGCAUCAUGUGGUGUAGUUGGUGAAAAUGUGCACUAAAUAACAUGAUAUGUAUAAAGACAUAUUUUAUGAUUUAUGUGCCCAUAUGACAAAAUACAGAAAAUUCUCAUCUAUCAUCAGUGUUAUGGUAGAUACAACACCAAAACAUUUUGUCUGAGUCACGUUUUGACUGAGUCUCAUUUUGACUGAUGCUAUGGCACAAAAUUUUGUCACCAGAUAUUAGAGAUAUCUGGAUGAUCCUUUAUCAGAACAUAUUUUAAAACUCAGAACAACUACAUAUAAAAAUACAGAUGUUAAAGAAUUAUUUUUUAAAGAGAUAUUUUGUAACUGCAUUCUAAGCUGGGAACCAUGCACUAAAUCAAGAGGGCAAAUAUUCCUGCAAAUAGUUGAUUGUUUUUAUUGAAAAGAAUUUGAAAGAGAUUACCAACAUUGUCCUCACACUGACACUAAACAAAAUACCAGUCCUCUGCAUUUCUCUUGUAUUAUCACAUUGUUGCUGUUUACUUGAUUAUAUCAACAGUGACAGGGCUUCCCCUCGCACCACGCUUCCCUCUUCUGGGACAUGUGGGGAAGAAGUUCGAAGGCUGCAACCAAGAUAAGGAGAGAGAACUAAUUUACUACAAAUGAUUUAAAAAAACAAAACAAAACAAAAACCCAAACAUGUAAGACAAUAUGAAAUGAAAAGGAAUUACAGAUCAUAAAUCAAACAAAUGGGAGAGAGAAGUUCUGACUGUAAUUGCUCACUGUGCUACUGGAAAUGGAUGAGAAGUCUUCUCCCUCAUUUCUGUGCUAUUCUACUUCUUUUACCCAGAAUCAGAAAUCACACAGGGAGUAUUGGAGAUGUCUGGGGACUGUAUGUCUCUUUUCACUGUACCUCUUUCUCAGAGUGCAGGAACUCAUGUAAGCUGGUAUUGUCAGGGGCAGUGACUAUGUUGCAUCACUGAAAUAGCUUACUGAAAAAUAUGGAACACUGUAAUACACAUUUUCCUACAAUUCAAAACAGAUUCAAAGAUUACUAUGGUGCUCUGAAGUGAUUUGUACAGAGCUGGCUUGUGUGACACACCACCAGUCUUCCCAGUUCUAUAAAUUAUUUUUCUGAUUUACAUUACAGAAUGAUUCUUACUGCUGCAAUUUUAGAAUAGGCUUGCUUUAUGUUUUGCUUCAAACUGUACAGUAGACAUACUACUGUACGUGUGUAUAUAUGAUAUAUAAUACAUAUAUGUACUUUGCUCCAAAAGCAAUGUCUCACCUUUGAUUCCAUGAAAACUACAACAGAUAGAAAAAGCACAAUUGCAUUAUUUGAUAGACCAAUUUCUCAGUUACAAAACACUAUUUCUCAACAUAGUCACCACCAUUAUAUAUGCAUUUUCAUCAGUGAUGAACAAGAGCCUGAAUGCUGUGCUUGUAAAAAUCUCUAUCAACAGGGGUGACUCAUAUUCAGCAAGCAUCGAUGAAUGUCAGUGGGUGCAAAUUUUCUGCAUGGAGGAAUUCAGUGACACAUCUUGGCUUCACAUGCACUUCCAUGUCAGAUGCCAUUUAGUCAGACUGAGCCUCUGCUGCCAUUUGUCACAUGGCAGCAGAAUAUAACAGGAUAUUGUUGAGAAGGUUCAACCUCUACUGCCAUACCACCAAAAUCAAUGUCUGACACCGUGGGCCAAUGUAAUAAAAUAAGAAGCAUUACUUUUGUAGUAGCCUCUGUACUAUGCUAUGCUAUGAGUUCUGGUGUACUUUUUAUAAGCAGUAAUCAAUAGAAAAUAAAAAUAAGAUAAAGCUAGGCAAAGUAGAUAUAAGGUGAAAAUAUAGGACAUUAAUGCAUUUUUUUUUUCACGGUUUUCAUCAAUCAAAAGUCAUGCAUAAGUGAGAAAAAUUCCUAUCAAAUGUUCAAUUUGUAAACACUAUGAGGAAAAUAUUUAAUUAAAAUUAAAAAAUAUAUUUUAACAUUGUUAUGUCUCAGUUUAACCUUUGCUGAUGCAGAAUUUCAGCCUUGCUGGAAAAUGAGGUCUUGCUGGGCUUUGUGACAUGACAGUAUAAUUUCUAUCUAGAAAUUCCUUCAGUGAUGCCAUCUGGAUCCACAGUUACUUUUCCCACAGUCAUAUUACAUUUAUGCCUAAGAGCCAUAAAAAUUUAAUAAUUGUUUACUAUUCUGAGGUCUUCCUCACUUGUUACCAAUUUGUAAUGUUCAUUAGUACCGAUGAAUGACAUCUUUGAAAAAAUUCUGGUCGACUACUUUGCCUGGUUUGCAGAGAGAUUAUGACCUUUUGUCUCACUCCAAUUUAUAUGAGGGAGAGGAGGUUCUUUGAUAUAUGUAUAGCCGAUGUGAGAUUAAGAAACAAUGGUUCAAAUGUUGGUCCGACCAGUUUAUUACAAAUCUUAAUCAGGGAGAUGGGGAAGGGGAGGAUGGCGACUAUUGAAUUAGGGUGAUGGGGAACAGAAAGCAGGCGAUAGGAAAGAUAGGAAAGAAGCAAGAAUUGCAUAAAGGGGGGAUAGUCACCACCAAGAUCCAGCAGCGUCCCGUUGUAUGUUGUUCCGAUUGUCCGAGGCAAAAGCGCAGGGGGAGAGCAGCAGCAGCGUGACAGGCUUUAAGCUGCAAGCAGGUGCCAGGAACAAGCAGCUGGGUAAGUCCAGGAGGAAGCAGCAGAUCUCAGGUAGCAGGUCCAGAAGAGAGUCCUUCAGCUUUCAGGCAUCAGCUCGUAAGGCUUCUGAUGUCUGACACCUAAUCUCUUGGUUGUUGGCCCCCUUUUUAUCCUUCUUCUUCUGCCAGUGUGGCAGAAGCUUGGGUAAGAGCCAUGUGCAGUACCCCCCCGAGAUGGCUAUAUCCCUCGAGAUAAACCCACACAAAAGACUGCUUCCCGGCCAUUAAGCUGCGAUUUAUCUCUCUCUCGUUGCCCCUGGCUUGUAAAAUCUUCAGACAAAAGAUUUCGCCAACUUUGACAAGGACUUGUCCGGACUUUACCGUCUGUGUCCUUCAGACAAAAGAUUUCUCAGCCCUUGCCCAGGAUGUGUCCAUCAGUGUUCC